UACGUAGGGGGCAAGCGUUGUCCGGAAUCAUUGGGCGUAAAGCGCGUGUAGGCGGCUCGGUAAGUCUGCUGUGAAAGUCCAGGGCUCAACCCUGGGAUGCCGGUGGAUACUGUGAGGCUAGAGUACGGAAGAGGCGAGUGGAAUUCCUGGUGUAGCGGUGGAAUGCGCAGAUAUCAGGAGGAACACCAAUAGCGAAGGCAGCUCGCUGGGACGGUACUGACGCUGAGGCGCGAAAGCGUGGGGAGCGAACAGG
rnacentral:rRNA from 1 species